rfam:Xylona heveae TC161 unplaced genomic scaffold L228scaffold_10, whole genome shotgun sequence.
GGCAAGAUGGCCGAGUGGUUAAGGCGCUGGAUCCAGGUUCCAGUGGGAAACCGCGUGGGUUCGAGUCCCACUCUUGUCA